rnacentral:lncRNA from 1 species
UGUAAUUGUAACACCAUAGAGUUGAUGAUCUAGUCAAAAUUGGAUUUGGGGAUCUUAUAUCUGCAACACAAAUAGGAGGAUUAGUAGUAUUGCACUGCACGUCCCCUUGAUUCUCCAUUGCUUGAUUGCUAUGUGGAGGAGGUUCAAAUCUAGGUAUAGGUCUUUGUCACUACUGCUCCUCAGUGUCUACAGCAUGGUGGUAUGCUUCUUUGAUGGUCCACAAGGUGUGGAGCCUCAAAGUAUCCUAGAUCUGCUACUGUCGUCCUCCAAGAUGUCUCAUGACCAUCUGCUCUUCAUUCUCCACCAG